rnacentral:lncRNA from 1 species
AGGGGAGAAAAAUGACACUGAAAGUUUUUUCUUUAUUACUUGCAGAGGAAAAGAAAGUAAAGAGCACCAAAGUGGAAGCAAAAGUUAAAAAGGAAGUGAAGGAUGGAAAAGGUGAAGCAAAGAUGGCUGAGAAACUCAAGCAGGCAGAGACUAAAACAACAGAAGUUGGGCUAAUAAAGGCCAAACCAAAAGUUAAGGAGGAGAAAGCACUUCAAACUGUAACUAAAUCGGAAAAGAAAGGACAAAAGGAAAUGGUAUCACCUCGUCUUCUUCUAGAACAUAGUCCAAAGAAGAAGCCAGCAACUACUGAAGAAACAGAAGAGGAAAAGAAAGUGACUCAUGUGAAGGGGGCUACCACUGAAACUAAGAAGAAAGAAAAAGAAGCAAAAAAAGAGAAAGCUCAUGAGAAGACAGCUGUCCCUGAAAUUAAAAAAGCAGAUAAAAAAGAAGCUGCUGUGCCCAAAGAACUUAAAAAGCCAGCAAAAGCUCCUGCAGCCAAACCAACUGCCACAAACCCAGCAGCACCAGAUCUUGUUUCUUUUAGCUUAUUCAACUCGAGGAGAACUCAAACUUAAGGAUAGCUGCUCUAGAUCAUCCUACAUCAUAUCCUUUUUGUAGUCUAAAUUAGAUUAUC